UUUUUUUUUUUUUUUUUUUUUUUUUUUUUUCCCUAGAAAGCACAAAUGUUGUUAAAACCUGCUUUGGAGAGAAUAAUGUGAGAUGCUAGAAAACGUGUAAUUGAGAUAGUUCUGUUAUCUGCAUGUUUGUCUUUUGCUUCUUUAAAUAAAGCACAAUUCCUGCUGUUGCAGGUUUAUCUUUUGCAAUAUAUAUCAGCUAGUUGCUUAUUCUUGCAGUGUGUUGUAUCAAUACACCAUCAAAAGUGACAGUUGUGUGAAUCAGUCACAAUACAUGUAGUAAUAAUUGUAUUAUUGUCUUUGUUGUUAGAAUGUGUUCGGGACAUGGCUGCAGCAUCUCUUCUAAAAAAUUAUCAAACAUGAAAUGCUUAUUAGUAAUAAACCACUGCAGACAGUAUAUGUAUGUGGGUACAGUACGUGUAUAUGCUACACAGACAUGUAUUUAUAGUAACAUGCUGUAAUUAUGGCAAAGGGUCUGUCAGCAUUUCCAGAGCAAACAUAAUUUUCAGGAUUUAUUAUAUAUCUAUAAUCUUCCUAUAGGUUAGAACUCAGAUAGAAUUUGGCAAAUGAGGCCUCAGCCUGGAUAGCAAGCCUUCUAUAGAUUUCUUCUUUAACGUAUUGAUUUGUAAUGUAUACAAACACUGACAGAUGUUUGCAAAGUUCUUAUUUGUGAUGCUGUAAUUAAGAAACAGGUUUAAGAAGAAAUUUGUUUCACAGAAGUACCUAAGUUAAAAAAAGAAAAAAAAAAAAAAAGGAGAAAAUAAAUUUAUGACUCUCCUUGUCCAGCACAGUUUACUUUUUUCAGUGUUCCAGGGUUUGUUUAUUUUGUUUUGUUUUGUUUUGUUUUCCUUUUGAUAGUGAGGAAAUAUCAUGUCUACUCUUUUAUUCUUUGGCUGUUGCAGGCUUCCAGGAGUCGGAGAACUGCAAGAACUGGUGUACUGAAAUCCUUGGUGAUAUUGGAAUUGCACGUGAGAUAAAGUUUCACGAACACUCAACACUCUGCAGAUAUGAACAUGAUUGCCUGUCUUGACUAUUUACUUUCUUGCCAUAUUCAGUGAUUGUGCACUGAACCACUGGAAGACCAAGAGCACACAAAAAUGUUGCCAUCUGAGCUAGAAUCCAGUACCAGCUCCUUCAGCUUCCAUUAGAUGUCAACUCUAACCUUUAUCCAUCUUGCUAUUACAAGAAUGAGACUUAUGACACAAUUGCAUUUCAGGGGACUCAGUGAGAGAUUGUGUGGGACUGAGCUGACUGUUUAACCAGGGUUAAACACCACCACUACCACACCUCAGAAACAUCUGGAGUGCACUGAAAAGCUCCUGAUGCUGAAGACUGGUUCAAUUUCUUUUCCUCCUGAGUUGCUGUCUCCAGUUUUCCAGAGACUAGUCGAGAUGAGGUAAACCUCAGGAAAACAACUUCUCUCACAUCUUCUUCCUUCAGGUUUGUCUGUGUAAAAUUUUCCUUUCUCCAAUUUGCUUUCAGGAUUCUCUGUGCCAGAUUUAUGAAACUUUGCAGGUUUGUAGCCACAUCCAGAAUGUACAGUUUGGAGUCCCACAUUGAUUGUCUGUUUAAGAAAUGAAAUGCCACAUUAUUUGUAGAUAUUUUUUAAUUUGAAAAUAAAGUGCACAACUUAGAGUAAGGAUAGUAUAUGCUUGCGAUGACUGAUGGAAAAUUAAGGAAGAGGUGCAAUUCAGGCAUGGUUUGUUAUGACCGUACAUGUUAAACCUUACAAAUAUGUUACAUGAAAUAACAUCUAGAAAACAUGCUCGCUUCUGUUUAAACUUAAACAGAUUCUUUCACACAGUGAAAGAAUUAUCUCAUAUGAGAUAAUUUCUAACAGGGAUAAAAGCUUGACUUUGACAUUUUGAACAUUCAUCCUUCUAAAUUCUGUGAGAGCCAUUUGUAGUAUCUAAGCAGCUAUAAAACAGAUUGGUGGCAUCUCUUCUGACAUAUUUAAUGUGUGCAAGUCCUCUGUGCUGUAAGAAUAAUGCUGUUUCUUGUGCAGUUUGAAUGCCUUUCUGGAUCACAGCUGAAAAUUUGCCCCCAUAGAAAAGGACAGAAAUGCCAUUGAAUUUAGUUAUACCAGAAUUUCUUAUAUAUCUGUAAAACCUGCUCUGAUUGAGGGUUCAGUGGAAGUCUGAAGAUAACUGUGUUGGUGAUUAAUCUGUCAAUUUGAAUGAUAUUUUAAAAAUAUAUUUGAGUAGAAUAAUUUUCUUCCACACAAGAACAGCAAUAUCUUCUGUGCUCUGCCAGGCUUCAGUCUUGGGAUCACCUUGGGUAACACCUUGGAAGGUGCAAUUACUGACUCAUACACUGGAGCUGGGACUUGGCUUAAUCUGCUCUCUGGCUUUGCAGUAGGAUAAGGCCCAGUCAUUCCCAUCCAGAAGGUACUCCAGAAAGUUCUUCAGCCUAAAUGAGCUGAAGAUCAAGGCAGCAAAUCAGUGUAGAAGUAAAUAACUUGGAUCAGCAGAGGCACUGCUUUUGACCUUGAUGAGAUCUGAGACUCAUUUUCCCUGCUACAACUCAAAAAUUCCUUUAUCUCUUUUAAAGCUUUGAUAGUUUUGGAUUAAAAAAUAGACGAAGUGAAAAAAAUCAUGUUUAUAGGUUAUUUGAUGCAGAAAUUGUUUUUUGUUGUAAGGGCAAAUUGCACAGCAAUUGCUGUGUCUAUUUGGUUUCACUAUCCUCGUUAUUCCUCUCUUUUAC